rnacentral:rRNA from 1 species
UAGGGAAUCUUCCGCAAUGGACGAAAGUCUGACGGAGCAACGCCGCGUGAGUGAAGAAGGAUUUCGGUUCGUAAAACUCUGUUGUUAGGGAAGAAAAAAUGUAUAGUAACUAUAUACAAAAGAGACGGUACCUAACCAGAAAGCCACGGCUAACUACGUGCCAGCAGCCGCGGUAAUACGUAGGUGGCAAGCGUUGUCCGGAAUUAUUGGGCGUAAAGCGCGCGCAGGUGGUUUAGAAAGUCUGAUGUGAAAGCCCACGGCUCAACCGUGGAGGGUCAUUGGAAACUAAUAAACUUGAGUGCAGGAUAGAAAAGUGGAAUUCCUAGUGUAGCGGUGAAAUGCGUAGAGAUUAGGAGGAACACCGGUGGCGAAAGCGGCUUUUUGGCCUGCAACUGACACUGAGGCGCGAAAGCGUGGGGAGCAAACAGG